UACAGAGGGGGCAAGCGUUGUUCGGAAUUACUGGGCGUAAAGGGCGCGUAGGCGGCCUUCUAAGUCGAACGUGAAAUCCCCGGGCUUAACCCGGGAACUGCGUCCGAGACUGGAAGGCUCGAAUCCGGGAGAGGGAUGUGGAAUUCCAGGUGUAGCGGUGAAAUGCGUAGAUAUCUGGAGGAACAUCGGUGGCGAAGGCGGCAUCCUGGACCGGCAUUGACGCUGAGGAGCGAAAGCCAGGGGAGCAAACGGG
rnacentral:rRNA from 1 species